AUGGUGCCGGGCCCUGAGCUGCCAGCGUCUGCGGGCCCCUUGCUAAGAAUGAAGGAGCAGGCCGGUCUCCGCCCUCCCGCGUCUCGUCUCAAGAGGAGGACACGCAAUGUCACCUUCAUCAGGCCCUCCUGGUUUUGCCCUUCACCUGUUGAAGACUCGGGACCACGCGUCCCCGGAAAGAGAAUUAAGGACACACGUACCACCAGCCAAUCUGAUACUGCAGGUGAGUGUCAGACGCAAAGCAACUCGGCAGGGGGGCUGUCCCGUGGAAGGUUUUGGAGAAUUGUUUUCUGAGGCAACGGCUUUGAUUCUAAAUACUUAAUCUCUUCCAAGGUGCAGUCUCCUCUGAAGCCAAGAUCCACCUGUAAGCUCCACAAGCACCAGCAGGAAGCUGUCCUGCCUACAUCUGUCCCACAGGUUCCCAGGGCCUGGUUCUAGGAGGCAGACAUCUCGGCUCUGCCCUUGACCAUGAUCUGGGGCCGAGCUGAAGCAGAGGGUGCAGGUGGAGGCCCCCAGCGCCAGAGUAAUGAUCGCCCGGGGCCGGGUCUCCCGAGUCCUGUCUCCGCAGGCUUCGCACCAGGAGUGAGAGCUGUCCGGGUGCAGAAGCGCCGCUGUCUUCAUGUCCCUGGAUUCGUCACAAUUCCCCAGAGAAACAGAAGCCGGGCGGCCGUGGCUUCCCGGUGGAGCCUGCAAGUCAGCGUGGAGCUUCUAGGAAGAGCCUGACGUUCUGAUAACAGACUGGAGUUGCUUAGGGUCAGUAUUAGUAACUGACCUGUAUUUUCUCCACUCAAGACCGCACCUCAUCUCCAGCUUUGUAUUGUAUUUUAGCCUGAAGACACCUUGGCUGUCUCCCUUCUCAUCCUGUGACAGUGUCCUGUGAAGACAAAAGUUAUGGUGGCCACUGUCCAUGAAUCGGUGACUUUGCAGGUGGGAUGAAGUAUCCGACUCUUCCCAGGUCUUUUUUUUUUUUAACUCACUGGAUCUUAGUAUAAUUACAGUUGUGCAAAAGCAUCAUCACAACCCAGUGUUACAUUUCCACUCCACACCCCCAGCCCAUCCCUCUCCCGCCCCAACCUGUCUCCUUUGGUAACCACAGUUUUUCAAAUUCUGUGAGUCAGUUUCUGUCCUGCAAAUAAGAUCACUGUAUCCUUUGUUCAUAUGCGCUGCAUAAGGUCACAUGCUGUCCACAUGUAAGUGAUAGCAUAUGGCACUGGUGUCUCACUAACUUCACUUAGCAGGAUAAUCUCUAGGUCCAUCCAUGUUGCUACAAAUGCCAUUAUUUCCUUCCUUUUAAUGGCUGAGUAAUAUUCCAUUGUGUAUAUGUACCUCAUCUUCUGAAUCCACUCCUCUGUCGAUGGACAUUUAGGUUGUUUCCAUGUCUUGGCUAUUGUAAAUAGUGCUGCAAUGAACACUGGAGUACCUGUGUCUUUUCGAGUCAUGGUUUUCUCUGGAUAGAUGCCCAGGAGUGGGACUGCUGGAUCAAAUGGUAGUUCUAUUUUUAGUUUUUUGAGGACCCUCCAUACUGUUUUCCAUAGUGGUUGCACCAAUUAACACUCCCACCAACAGUGUGUAUGUAAUAAGGUUCCCUCUUCUCCACACCCUCUCCAGCACUUACCGUUUGUAGACUUUUUGAUGAUGGCCAUUGUGACUGGUGUAAGGUGUUAGCUCAUAGUAGUUUUGAUUUGCGUUUCUCUAAUAACUAGUGACAUUGAACAUCUUUUCAUGCGCCUACUGGUCAUGUGGUUUAUGUCUUUUUUUGAGAAUUGUCUGUUUAGAGCUUCUGCCCAUUUUUUGAUGGGGUUGUUUGUGUUUUUGGUAUGGAGCUGCAAGAGGUAUUUAUAUAUUUUGGAGAUGAAUCCCCUGUCAGUCACUUCACUUGCAAAUGUUUUCUCUCAUUUUGUGGGUUGUCUUUUUGUGUUGUUUAGGGUUUCCUUUUAAUUAGAUCCUAUUUGUUUACUUGUGUUCUUAUUGUCGUUACUCUAGGAGGUGAGUCUAAGAUGUUGUUGUGGUUUAUGUCAAAGUGUUCCGCCUAUGUUUUCCUCUAAGAGUUUUAUAGUAUCUGGUCUUAUAUUUAGGUCUUUAAUCCAUUUUGAGCUUAUUUUUGUGUAUGGUAUAAGGGAAUGUUCUAAUUUCAUUCUUUUACAUGUAGCUGUCCAGUUUUCCCAGCACCACUUAUUAAAGGGACUGUCUUUUUCUCCAGUGUAUAUUCUUGCCUCUUUUGUCAAAGAUUAACUGACCAUAGGUGUCUGGGUCCCAUUGGUUAUUUUUGUUUUUAUUGUCGUUACUCUAGGAGGUGGAUGUG
rnacentral:lncRNA from 1 species